GAUACCCGUCUAUUCAUGAAAUAAAUAAAGUCGAAAAAUACGAACCACAGUUUAAAACUUAAAGAUUUUGGCGGUGUCUCAUCGAACCAGGGGAACCUGUCUCAUAACUCGAUAAUCCACGAACUCUUCACCCUCCCUAGAUCAAACAGCUUGUGUACUGCCGUCGUAAGCACACCUCUAAAAGCCRAACGAGUAUGCAACUAUGAUUAACUCAUAUACGUCAGGUCAAAGUGCAGCCAAUGAGAGGGCGAUGAUGGGUUACACCCUAAAUAAAGAUACGGAGCACAACACUAAAAGUUGUACAAAGGUGGACUUGGAUGUAAUAAAGAUACAAAGUCAAAAUGAAGACGAAUCUGAGACAUGCACACAUCGCCCGUCACUCUCGCCCAAAGGCGAGAUAAGUC
rnacentral:rRNA from 1 species